rnacentral:rRNA from 1 species
UACGAAGGGGGCUAGCGUUGCUCGGAAUUACUGGGCGUAAAGCGCACGUAGGCGGCUUUCUAAGUCGGGGGUGAAAUCCUGGAGCUCAACUCCAGAACUGCCUUCGAUACUGGAAAGCUCGAGUCCGGGAGAUGUGAGUGGAACUGCGAGUGUAGAGGUGAAAUUCGUAGAUAUUCGCAAGAACACCAGUGGCGAAGGCGGCUCACUGGCCCGGUACUGACGCUGAGGUGCGAAAGCGUGGGGAGCAAACAGG